AGUUGAGACUUGUGAAGACGAGAUCGCUUACGCUGAGACGACAUUCUACAAAAGAGAAACACAGAAUACGAAAGUUGAAGAGGAGGAUUGUGUGGAAUAUGCACCAAUCAAAAUGAGAAGAUGAUCAAACUUCAAUGUUUCUAUAAGUACAAUACUUAGAUUGUGUGAUCAUUUUCAGUAGAAACCUCCUGCAAUGACCUCAGACUCUGAGUCUAUGGUUGAGUUUUGGGAUUGUGAGAAUCGCCACGUUGCAUCAGGAAAUCACAGCAGACAGAGAGUUGGAUUAUCCUAGGGGUUUAAAGUCUGAUAAUUAGCAAUGGAUUAAAUCAAAUGGUCUCCUAAAAACUGCAAAGGAAUUUACCUUAAUUGUACUACAAGGACUUUAAACAAAUGAUGUAAAUCGUGUGGCCCAUUGGAACAUUUUCAUGUUUUACUCUUAAAGUCAAUAGUGCAAAACUGCAAGCUACUCAUUAAAAGGGGUCAAAGUGAACCCUGCUGUGGUCUUAUUUAUUCAUUUAUUCACAUCAGUACAGAGAUGUGGUUUGAUCUGUUGGGUAGACAAACAGCUUGUGCAUGAGAAUGCAUCUCCUCUGGAGGUUUGUGUUUGAGCAUGCAUCUCUGAGGUGUGAAUAGUGUGUCUGAGGUGUCAGACUGUGUGAUAGCAAGUUGAAAAGCUUUUUCCAUUCCUGCUCGCAUGAAACCAUUGACUUCUGCUCUACAGAGAAGCCGCUUUACUAAAAAACACUAAACUCAUUCUCAAAUCAAACAGUGAUACUGCUGUGAACAACGAAAAUAUCAUAUUUGUGUGCAUAUACAUGAUGAUCUUAUGUACUCAUGCUGCGAUCCUGCAGUUAAGCAGUGCUACACUGUUGCUAGAGCUGGAAAUAACUACUGAAACUACACUCUCAGAGUAAAAAGGUACAAGCUCUCACUGGGGUGGUACCUUCAGCCCUUUAUUUCUGAGAGUGUAGUUUCAGUAGUUAUUUCCAGCCAUGGUAAGAGUUUAGUGUAUCCAAAAUGGUCAAUGUUUAUGAUAACAUCUUUAUUAAUAUUAUUUCUUAUGUUAAUUAUUCUUUUUUAUAUUAUUAUUCUUUCACAUGUUAUUGAUUUUCUUAAUCAUUUAUAUAUUUCCUACUAUAUGCUCUGAUAUGUUUGAAUAUUUCCAAAUGUAAGAUCUUUUGGUGUCUCUUCUGUGCUGUAAGAUUGAGUGGGUGUAUUUUCCAUUGGAAUUAAUUAGGUGAUGUACCUUUGUAUCAACAUAUUUCCAUUUCUGCAGACAUGAGAUAAUGCAAGAUCUGCAAUAUUCUCAAAACAACACCUUCUGUAUCUAAUCUCAUUUAUCUUUGACGUUUGACCAGUCACUCUGACCUAGCCAUUACACCAACUAUGACAUAAUGGAUAAGUCUAUUUGAUCUUUUCUUAUUAGACCAAAACAUACGUUUAAGGGGGUGUAAGUUUCCUGCAUAUAUAUAGUCGUUGCUCUUAUUUUACUCUAGAAUUUUACAUUUUUACUUACUACAUUUAUUAUUCCUAAUUCAAAUUUGAUCCCUGACAUAAUCAUUGCUGGACUGCCUGGAUCUCAUUUCAUUAGUUUUGCAUCAGGUUAUAAGCAGAACUAAUUUUGAUACGUUUUUUUCUUAUAAAGGUCAUGUACUGUUUUUUUUCUGCCAGUGUCUGGGUCAUUUUAAGAAUAAAUGCAAUGUAUGACUUACA